rnacentral:rRNA from 1 species
UACGUAGGUCCCGAGCGUUGUCCGGAUUUAUUGGGCGUAAAGCGAGCGCAGGUGGUUUAUUAAGUCUGGUGUAAAAGGCAGUGGCUCAACCAUUGUAUGCAUUGGAAACUGGUAGACUUGAGUGCAGGAGAGGAGAGUGGAAUCCAUGUGUAGCGGUGAAAUGCAUAGAUAUAUGGAGGAACACCGGUGGCGAAAGCGGCUCUCUGGCCUGUAACUGACACUGAGGCUCGAAAGCGUGGGGAGCAAACAGG